AUGGAUGAUGAUACACAUUGGGCUCCGAGCAGCGAACAUCGCUGCAAUCUGAUGGAGAUGUAUUUGCCUAGAAAGCAUUGUCUGACGG